rnacentral:lncRNA from 1 species
UAUGAUUAUUCUGGUAAAAUGCAACUUGUUUGACUGUUUACUCAACGCCUAUGUUCUGGUGAUCUUGCUGUUUGGAAGAACAGAUCAGACCUCUGUGGAGGCAUUACUUCCAGAACACACAGGGCCUUAUUUUCGUUGUUGACAGCAAUGACCGUGAUCGUGUUGUUGAGGCAAGAGAUGAACUCCACAGGAUGCUAAAUGAGGUAACUUCUUCUAGUGAUGGUACUCCUUUAAAUAUGUAAUGUUCUGUUUGCAUAAAACAGAUUUGUUAAAGCCUAACUCAAGUAGAAUUGUUGUGUUUAUCGGAUUAUGUUAAAUAAGCUUUGACUUCUGCCAUCAAAUUAACCUUAGAAAUGAAGAAAAUGUUCUUGUUCUGCACUAACUUCUUCAUACAUAAUCUCAUACAAAAUUUCACUUACAUGGUUAUCUAGUGGAUUAAGUGAAUGAUUCCUACACAUGACAAAGUUGUUGAUUGGUGUGAUAGAAGGAACUUAUAUGAUAACAGUUGUAAAUUUCUUGUGAUUUUAGAUGACAAGAGAAAAAGAUAUGUAUGAUCAUUAUACCGAUAAAAGCUAUUUAGAUCCAUUUUUUAUAUUUUUGGAUGCAAAGUUAUUUGAGAAAGAAACUAAUUGGGUAAAUAAUUUACCGGAUGAUUCUUUCAAAUGACUUAUCUAAUCAUGAUUUUCAUCAAUAUAUGUCUUUGUGAAUGAAGUUUGGUGGAUCAACAUUUUGGUAUUUGAAUGUCCUUUUAACCCAUUUUACCAAUCAUUUAGUUCAUACGAAAUUUAAAGCAUGUCAGAUAUCUUCUUUAGCAACGUAGCAUCUUUUUAUUACUAUGGAUUACUGAUCCAUCUGUUUUUAAUGUGUUUUGAUGCUGAUAGGAUGAGUUACGGGAUGCUGUCUUGCUUGUGUUUGCUAACAAACAAGACCUUCCAAAUGCAAUGAAUGCUGCUGAAAUCACUGAUAAGCUUGGUCUGCAUUCCCUGCGUCAGCGACACUGGUA